CAAUUUAUACCGUGAAACUGCGAAUGGCUCAUUAAAUCAGUUAUCGUUUAUUUGAUAGUACCUUACUACUUGGAUAACCGUGGUAAUUCUAGAGCUAAUACAUGCUAAAAGCCCCGACUUCGGAAGGGGUGUAUUUAUUAGAUUAAAAACCAAUGCCCUUCGGGGCUCUUUGGUGAUUCAUAAUAACUUAACGAAUCGCAUGGCCUUGUGCCGGCGAUGGUUCAUUCAAAUUUCUGCCCUAUCAACUUUCGAUGGUAGUAUAUGGGACUACCAUGGUUUCAACGGGUAACGGGGAAUUAGGGUUCUAUUCCGGAGAGGGAGCCUGAGAAACGGCUACCACAUCCAAGGAAGGCAGCAGGCGCGCAAAUUACCCAAUCCCGACACGGGGAGGUAGUGACAAUAAAUACUGAUGCAGGGCUCUUUUGGGUCUUGUAAUUGGAAUGAGUACAAUUUAAAUCCCUUAACGAGGAACAAUUGGAGGGCAAGUCUGGUGCCAGCAGCCGCGGUAAUACCAGCUCCAAUAGCGUAUAUUAAAGUUGUUGCAGUUAAAAAGCUCGUAGUUGAACCUUGGGCCUGGCUGGCCGGUCCGCCUCACCGCGUGCACUGGUCCGGCCGGGUCUUUCCUCCUGGGGAGCCGCAUGCCCUUCACUGGGUGUGUCGGGGAACCAGGACUUUUACUUUGAAAAAAUUAGAGUGUUCAAAGCAGGCCUAUGCUCGAAUACAUUAGCAUGGAAUAAUAGAAUAGGACGUGUGGUUCUAUUUUGUUGGUUUCUCGGACCGCCGUAAUGAUUAAUAGGGAUGGUCGGGGGCAUCAGUAUUCAAUUGUCAGAGGUGAAAUUCUUGGAUUUAUUGAAGACUAACUACUGCGAAAGCAUUUGCCAAGGAUGUUUUCAUUAAUCAGGGAACGAAAGUUAGGGGAUCGAAGACGAUCAGAUACCGUCGUAGUCUUAACCAUAAACUAUGCCGACUAGGGAUCGGGCGAUGUUAUUUUUUUUUGACUCGCUCGGCACCUUACGAGAAAUCAAAGUC
rnacentral:rRNA from 1 species